rnacentral:rRNA from 1 species
AGCGAACGCUGGCGGCAGGCUUAACACAUGCAAGUCGAGCGGGCACUUUCUGAUGUCAUCGUCGGACGGGUGAGUAACGCGUGGGAACGUGCCCUCUGGUUCGGAAUAACUCAUGGAAACUGGAGCUAAUACCGGAUACGCCCCUUUUAGGACAGGCUUGCUGCCGGAGGAUCGGUCCGCGCCUCAUUACAUAGUUGGUUAGGUAACGGCUCACCAAGGCGACGAUCAGUAGCUGGUCUGAGAGGAUGAUCAGCCACACUGGGACUGAGACACGGCCCAGACUACUGCGGGAGGGAGGAGAGGGGAAUAUUGCAAAAUGGCGGCAAGGCAGAAGCAGCCAUGCCGGGUGAGUGAUGAAGGUCUUAGGGUUGUAAAGCUGGUUAAUCCGGGACGAUACUGACGGUACCGGAAGAAUAAGCCCCGGCUAACUUCGUG